CCUGAAGCGAUUACUUUACUAAAUACACAAAUUAUUAAUACUUAUCACAAAAAGACCUAACUUCAUUUCCAGUGCAUAAAUCAGCCAGUGCGUUUCCCACACAUUUUUACUUGAGUCUGAAAAUUAUUUAAUAUUACAUGGUCAAUUAUUUUUUCUGCGAAAUACGUAUUUUUCAAAUUUGUUAUUUGCAGUCUGCAAUGUAUAUUUGUUUGAGUUUUUUUGCCGUUUUCAACCGUAUUUCAUAUAUGUAGAACUUCACAUAUAAGUUAAUCUCAUUUUUAAACUUUCCUAGUCAAGUUUCUGUUUGAAAAAAAAAUCUAAAAAUGAAAAAUUACAGAAGAGACUAUCGAAUUCUUUUUUCCCGGCCCGCCACUUUGUAGACAUUUAAUUGAUUAUUCUGCAUGGCUGCAUUUGUUCAAAUAGGAAAUUUUGCGCCAAUGUCUGUUUUCCGUUUAUUUUUUAAAAGGUUGCGCGUUUUUUUUUUACUUUUUUUCUUUCUUUCAGGAACGUCUGGAUUCAGAAACAGAAAGUAACUUGGUAGAUAUGUACUCAUUUAAAGCAAGUGAAGUGAAACCCUUGAAAAGUACGAACAACUAAACCAAGAACUAGGAUACACAUCAUGGGAUAUUGACGUCAAUGGAAACAAAAUGUGUGUACUAGUUGAUCGCAGGAAUAUUAAUGAAAAAAUUUAAAGACAUUCAGUGAUGGGGAUGAAGUGGAGGCCUUAUCGAUAAAUAAAGAGUCCGCAGUUCAGGAAAUGGUACAGCGCUGAGAGUAUUUUGGAAGUUAAGAAAGGCUGGUGAAAUGUAUAAAGUGAGAUUUCAUGAAGAUGGGUCCUAGUAAGUCCGGAAUAUGGCUCGUAUUUGAAGAAAAAUUGUGAUUGAG